UACGUAGGGUGCAAGCGUUGUCCGGAAUUUAUUGGGCGUAAAGAGCUCGUAGGCGGUCUGUCGCGUCUGCUGUGAAAACUCAGGGCUUAACCCUGAGCUUGCAGUGGGUACGGGCAGACUAGAGUGCGGUAGGGGAGACUGGAAUUCCUGGUGUAGACGGUGAAAUGCGCAGAUAUCAGGAGGAACACCGGUGGCGAAGGCGGAUCUCUGGGCCGAUACUGACGCUGGAGGAGCGAAAGCGUGGGGAGCGAACAGGA
rnacentral:rRNA from 1 species